rnacentral:rRNA from 1 species
AUUGAACGCUGGCGGCAUGCCUUACACAUGCAAGUCGAACGGUAACAGGUCUUCGGAUGCUGACGAGUGGCGAACGGGUGAGUAAUACAUCGGAACGUGCCUAGUAGUGGGGGAUAACUACUCGAAAGAGUGGCUAAUACCGCAUGAGAUCUACGGAUGAAAGCAGGGGAUCGCAAGACCUUGUGCUACUAGAGCGGCCGAUGGCAGAUUAGGUAGUUGGUGGGAUAAAAGCUUCCCAAGCCGACGAUCUGUAGCUGGUCUGAGAGGACGAUCAGCCACACUGGGACUGAGAAACGGCCCAGACUCCUACGGGAGGCAGCAGUGGGGAAUUUUGGACAAUGGGCGCAAGCCUGAUCCAGCAAUGCCGCGUGCAGGAUGAAGGCCUUCGGGUUGUAAACUGCUUUUGUACGGAACGAAAAGCCCCGGGUUAAUACCCUGGGGUCAUGACGGUACCGUAAGAAUAAGCACCGGCUAACUAUGUGCCAGCCGCCGCCGUAA